rnacentral:tRNA from 1 species
GUUCUGAUAGCUAUAAAAGUAGUAGGCUUUUAACCUAUUGAAACAUGAUUAAAUGUUCAGGGCG